UACGAGAGGCCCGAACGUUGUUCGGAUUUACUGGGCUUAAAGAGUUCGUAGGCGGCUUGGAAAGUGGGGUGUGAAAGCCCUCGGCUCAACCGAGGAAUUGCGCUCCAAACUCCCGAGCUUGAGUAGGCUAGAGGUGAGCAGAACAGAUGGUGGAGCGGUGAAAUGCGUUGAUAUCAUCUGGAAUACCGGAGGCGAAGGCGGCUCACUGGGACCUAACUGACGCUGAGGAACGAAAGCUAGGGGAGCAAACAGG
rnacentral:rRNA from 1 species